GUCCCCGUAGCUCAGAUGGAUAGAGCACUGGCCUCCGGAGCCAGUCGGGUGAGUUCGAAUCUCGCCGGGGACGCCA
rnacentral:tRNA from 1 species